AAGUUUCUGGAAGCCCCAGGGAUCUGGCACCAGGGUCCUGUUUGCUGUUCAGCUGUUUCCCGGGCUCGCUCCAGCAGGGUUGAAUCACCCUGUCUCAUGUUUCCUAAAGAGGAUCUCCUGCCCCAGAGACCUACUCAGUCCCAGGAGAGUGGUGGUCACUGGACCCUGGAUCCAACCUCUUUGGGGAGGACAGACAGCAGAGGCUCGGCUCCAGAUGCUGCCAUGUGACCAUUUAUGUCCUCCAGUAUCCGUGGCAUCCCUGGGACUCUCCACAUUGCUGUCUUUUUCCUCAGCAAGUGCCGUCUUGCCUUACAGCAUAGCAGGUGUCAACUAUCUGAGGCUCUGAAAUGAUGAGAAGACCGUGGCCACAAUGUCCAAGUGGAAAAGGGAAGCUUGGGGCCAAACCUCACCAGAAACCCCGGUGUCCCAUCUCUGCAAAUGCCUUGGAAGCAUCCUCCAACGUGGACCCUUUUCUCAGAUGAGGGAACCGAGGCCCCAGGUGUGGAGCAAUCUGCCCAAGGGUAGACCAAUCAUGGCUGUGCUGUAGCCCCAGAAGGCCAUUGCACUCCUGGGUGAACGCUGUUCCAGACAUCAGGAAGCUGGAGUUUGUGUUUCUGGGUCAGAAGGACCAAGGCAAUGCCAGAGCAUCAUGGAGAAGAGAGACAGAGGCCACUCUGGAAGCCAAGGACCCAGGGAUGGUGGGGAGACCAGUGGGCAGUGUUUGCCACUGUCCCUGACACUUCUGCCUGAGGGCUUGGGCUGGGAGUGAGGGACCCCGACUGACAGAGAUGGGGUUCCAGCAAAGACGCUACUUCUUCAACUGAGACCUGUUCCCAGAGGUGCCUGGGGACAGAGCCAGGCUGCCACAGAGGGGUCUGCUCAAUGCUUCAUAGUGUCACCACCCUCCUGCUGACACUGUCAUCUGCCAGUGAUCCCGGCUGGAGUCAGCUGAGGAGCAGAGUGGAGCCAGAGUGGAGGCUUCAGAGUGUCCAUGUCAGACACUGACCUUGCUUGUGACCUUGGGAGCUAACAGGUGACCAGAGAGGGACGGGUGGUAGAAAGCGCUGGCCCUGGGAUCUGGGGACCCUGGACAGAGGACAGGUGCCGGUCGGCUUCAGGGGAUGAGCUGGCAGCAGAGGAGAGAGUGUGUGACUCACUUUGUAGACACAUCUUGUCCCGCUGGUCACAGCAGCCAGGCCACCUGUCCCAGGGGAUCCUUAUGGGCUUGUGCUAGUGACAGGGCAGUGGGGACCAGGUGACUCCCUUUCCCCCAUGGAGGCCUUGUGUCCAGUGAGAGCUCUCCAUGGCUCCCACACCCAGGGCUCCCUCUGCAGAGCCAGUGCCCCCUGGGGCCUCACACCUGGGUUUCUGUUCCUUUCCCCACAGCUCCCACCACUGGGCUCAUCCAAGUGCCCGGGUCUCUCAGCCCGCACUGGCCCUGCAGAGAUGCCUGCAGCAGGUCCUGCUGCCUCUGCUCUUCUAGGACAGAGGUUUCCACAGAACCCUCCAGGGCUGCACCUCUCUCAGCAGAAAGACUUCAGAGGCUGCAAGGCUCUGUACCCCAGCUCUGCCCCCAGGCCCUCUGGCAUCAUCCUUUCCUCCCUCAACUCACUAGCCUCACCCCUGCAACAUGCCACUAUGCUGCCCCAGGCCCUUUGCACACACUGGUCCCCCACCCCACCUCAAUCCACAACUUCUCUGUUCCAGGUUACAGUUCACAGAGGACCUCCCUGGCCAACCCUCUUGCCUCCUACCUAGAACUUUCUAGAAAUUAUCCCCUUGUUUAUCCAGUUUCUCCUCCAUUCCCCUCCUCUGGAAUGCAGCUGUGGCACAGGUGGGGGACCUGGCUGUUUUGCUCUAGGCUCACACCCACCUCCCAGGACAGGCCCUGCUGCCCUGUAAACACACGGGAAUGAGGGAUUGCAUGCUUCUCCCGGAGCCAGUCCUGCAUGCUGUCUGCCCACAGUCUGCUGCUCUGGCAGGCACAUUCUCCCCUCCCCUGGCUUGGUGUGUAUGUGCUGUGAGACAAGUCGGUCUCCUCUGGUGCAAUGUGUGUGUGCGGGCUUUGUGGUGCCUGCAGCCCUGUGGAGGUGCUGGCAAUGCACCUAGGGUAGCCACUCUGUAAAGACAGUAUGGACUGGGGUGGGGCAAGGGAAGCCACACCCCCACACCCACACACCAGGGCUGGGAACACCAGUUACCCUGGUCAAUGGGCUGAGAGAUUCCACGUGUGCGUAGGUCAGUGGUCUGGUGUUGGCUCCCUGAGUCCUCAGUGCUGUCCAUCCGGGCCUGGAGGCUCACAUUCCUAAUGGUUUCCUAACGCCUGUAACAAUUUUCCCAGCAGGGCUCUCGUGGCUGG
rnacentral:lncRNA from 1 species